rnacentral:rRNA from 1 species
UAAAAUUUAUAAAAUUAGGUAGUAAAGAAAUUUCUGAAACCUAAAGAAUUCAACAUAUCUUUCCUAAAUUUUAUUUGUAUAUCGUCGUUUUGAUAAUAUUUAAAAAUUAUAAUCAAUAAUAAUAAAUUUUUAAAAAUCAGAUCAAGGUGCUGGCGGUAUUUUAAAUAAUUGGAGGAACCUGUUAUUUAAUUGACAAUCCAAGUAUAUUUAGGGUAUAAUGGGUUACAAUAUAGAUAUAUAUAACGGACAUUAAAUCAAAACUAAAUUAAAGGUGGAUUCAAAAGUAAAGUUAAAUUAAAAUGUUAACUUGAUUUAUAAUUUAAAAUAUGC